rfam:Dictyocaulus viviparus strain HannoverDv2000 D_viviparus-1.0_Cont48.15, whole genome shotgun sequence.
GGGGGUAUAGCUCACGUGGUAGAGCAUUCGACUGCCAGAUCGAGAGGUCCGUGGUUCAAAUCUGCGUGCCACAU